AACGAACGCUGGCGGCAGGCCUAACACAUGCAAGUCGAGCGAGGACUUCGGUUCUAGCGGCGGACGGGUGAGUAACGCGUGGGAAUGUGCCCUUCUCUACGGAAUAGCCCUGGGAAACUGGGAGUAAUACCGUAUACGCCCUGUUGGGGAAAGAUUUAUCGGAGAAGGAUCAGCCCGCGUUGGAUUAGGUAGUUGGUGGGGUAAUGGCCUACCAAGCCGACGAUCCAUAGCUGGUUUGAGAGGAUGAUCAGCCACACUGGGACUGAGACACGGCCCAGACUCCUACGGGAGGCAGCAGUGGGGAAUCUUAGACAAUGGGGGCAACCCUGAUCUAGCCAUGCCGCGUGAGUGAUGAAGGCCUUAGGGUUGUAAAGCUCUUUCAGCUGGGAAGAUAAUGACGGUACCAGCAGAAGAAGCCCCGGCUAACUCCGUG
rnacentral:rRNA from 1 species